rnacentral:rRNA from 1 species
CAGCCGCCGCGGUAAUACGUAGGGGGCGAGCGUUGUCCGGAAUUAUUGGGCGUAAAGCGCGCGCAGGCGGUCCCUUAAGUCUGAUGUGAAAGCCCACGGCUCAACCGUGGAGGGUCAUUGGAAACUGGGGGACUUGAGUGCAGAAGAGGAGAGCGGAAUUCCACGUGUAGCGGUGAAAUGCGUAGAGAUGUGGAGGAACACCAGUGGCGAAGGCGGAUCUCUGGUCUGUAACUGACGCUGAGGCGCGAAAGCCUGGGGAGCAAACAGGAUUAGAUACCCUGGUAGUCCACGCCGUAAACGAUGAGUGCUAAGUGUUAGAGGGGUUAAACCCUUUAGUGCUGUAGCUAACGCGUUAAGCACUCCGCCUGGGGAGUACGGCCGCAAGGCUGAAACUUAAAGGAAUUGGCGGG